rnacentral:rRNA from 1 species
GACGAACGCGUGGCGGCGUGCCUAACACAUGCAAGUCGAGCGGGGAGGAGGAAGCUUGCUUCCGAAUCCUAGCGGCGGACGGGUGAGUAACGCGUGAGCAACCUGCCUCAAACAGGGGGAUAACGCAUCGAAAGAUGUGCUAAUACCGCGUAAGACCACAGCACCGCAUGGUGCAGGGGUCAAAGGAGCAAUCCGGUUUGAGAUGGGCUCGCGUCCGAUUAGCUAGUUGGUGAGAUAACAGCCCACCAAGGCGACGAUCGGUAGCCGACCUGAGAGGGUGAUCGGCCACAUUGGAACUGAGAAACGGUCCAG